rnacentral:rRNA from 1 species
GACGAACCGUGCGAACGUUAUUCGGAAUCACUGGGCUUAAAGCGCGUGUAGGCGGGCGGGAACGUCGGUUGCUGAAAGCCCCCGGCUCAGCCGGGGAACGGGCGCCGAAACGACCCGCCUCGAGGGACGUAGGGGGACCUGGAACUUCCGGUGGAGCGGUGAAAUGCGUUGAGAUCGGAAGGAACGCCCGUGGCGAAAGCGAGGUCCUGGACGUCUUCUGACGCUGAGACGCGAAAGCUAGGGGAGCGAACGGG